rnacentral:rRNA from 1 species
UACGUAGGGUGCAAGCGUUAAUCGGAAUUACUGGGCGUAAAGCGUGCGCAGGCGGUUUUGUAAGUCUGUCGUGAAAUCCCCGGGCUCAACCUGGGAACUGCAUUUGGGACUGCAAGGCUUGAGUACGGUAGAGGGGGAUGGAAUUCCGCGUGUGCAGUGAAAUGCGUAGAUAUGCGGAGGAACACCGAUGGCGAAGGCAUCCCCUGGACCUGUACUGACGCUCAUGCA